UACGUAGGGUGCAAGCGUUAAUCGGAAUUACUGGGCGUAAAGAGCGCGCAGGCGGUCGGAUAAGUCGAAUGUGAAAGCCCCCGGCUCAACUGGGGAGGGUCAUUCGAUACUGUUCGACUCGAAGGCAGGAGAGGGAAGUGGAAUUCCCGGUGUAGUGGUGAAAUGCGUAGAUAUCGGGAGGAACACCAGUGGCGAAGGCGACUUCCUGGCCUGUUCUUGACGCUGAGGCGCGAAAGCUAGGGGAGCAAACGGGG
rnacentral:rRNA from 1 species